rnacentral:rRNA from 1 species
AUUGAACGCUGGCGGCAGGCCUAACACAUGCAAGUCGAACGUGUGGCGGACGGGAGCGGAAUGUUUGGGAAUCUGCCAGAUGGCGGGGUAUCACGACUGGCAACGGUAGCCGAUACCGAAUACUAUCGUAUGAGCCCAGAUGGGAGUAGCUACUAGGUGGUGUAAAGGCUCACCUAGGCGACGAUCCCGAGCUGGUCUGAGAGGGUGACCAGCAACAUUGGAACUGAGACACGGUCCAGACUCCUACGGGAGGCAGCAGUGGGGAAUAUUGCACAAGGGGGGCAAGCCUGAUGAAGACAGGCCGCGUGUAUGAAGAAGGCAUUCGGGUUGUAAAGUACUUUCAGCGGGGAGGCGUUACCCGCAGAAGAAGCACCGGCUAACUCCGUGCCAGCAGCCGCGGUAAUAC